UAAUUUAAAUUUUACAUUGACCCUAUACCGUUUCGUCUUUAACCUCUCUCGCCACUAUUUUGCUGCUUCAGUGUUCCAACAAGAAGAAGAAUCAUGGUCUGGGGUCUCUUCCCCGUCGAUCCUCUUUCCGGUGAAGAUAAUUACUACAUUUUCAAAACUGGAACUUACAAAGUUGGUCGAAAAGGUUGUGAUGUAAUCGUCACUAAGGAUAAAGGGGUUUCUCGGGUUCAUGCUGAAAUAGUUGUUAAUACAAUGAACACGUCAAAUCCUCUACCAAAUGUACAGAUAAGAGACUGCUCCAAGUACGGAACAUUUGUCAGCAAGAAUAUUGGGCUUAAGAAAAAAGUUCAUGAGCUACCAAACAAAGAAACAGCAUUACAUGAUGGUGACCUUGUUUCUUUUGGCACUGGUAGUGCUACCUACAAGUUUCGCCAUGUUCCCCUCAUUCUUUUCAUCUGUUCCUCAAAUAAAGUGGACCGAUCUUUGGCAAAGAAGAUUUCAUCAAUUGGUGCCAGUAUUGCUCAUACCUUGAAUGAAGAGUGCACACACGUGCUGGUAGAUCAACUCACGCCCUUAAAGAAGGAUCUUGUUGAUGCAGUUGUCGCAAAAAAGCCUUGUGUUCUCAAAACUUGGCUCGAGUUUUUUGCAGAAAACAACAUUAGCAAUGAAAUUCCGAGCUCUCAUUCACACAUUCCAACAGUGUCAGUGGAAGGAGCAUCUAUCAAAGUUGCUGAUCCCAAAACUCGUGAAAACUGUUUGAAAGGAUACACUUUUGUGUUGGAAUCUGAGGAUUUGUAUAAAUUUGGGGAUCAGCUAAAGUCUUUACUGGAAGUAGCUGGUGCUAAAACUAUUUCAUUUCAAGACUUCUCUUCUAAUAGCCUUGGUUCAGAUUACGGAGAUGAUAAUCGUAUGGUUUGUGUCACCCCAGAAGGAGCGGCAUGCAAACCUGAUUUCAUUAAAUUAUUAAGUUCCUUGCAAAAAGUCAAUGAGAUGGGUAUAAUAAAUGCUGCUCUCAGUGGACAUCUAGACCUGUCUAUUUUAAAAUCACCAUGCGUGCUUAUUUCAUCGUCAUGCUCUACAGACGAGACAAUUGUAGCAGAUUCAGAUACUGAAGUUGAAACAGCCACAUCACCCGUUGCAAGUGAGGCAUUAUGUGGUGGAAAUAAUGUAAAAUAUGUAAAAACAGAAGAAUUAGAUCAUGAUGAUGAUUCCAGCACUUCAUUCAAGAGAAAAGAUGAGAGAAUGGAACCAACCUUAGAUGAUAUAUCUACCAGUUUGCAUGAAAUAAAACAUGCAAAAACAGACAUAUCCCUGGACACUUCUAUCCAAUCUGAUACACAUGCUACCAGCUUCAAGGAUGGAACUGGCGGCAUCAAAGUGAAGAAAGACAAGGUGGAUGAUUAUGGAAGUGGAAAUUCAGAUAUUGUUUACAGCCAAAAUUUAGUUGUUCGAGAUAUACAUAAACUUACCAACAGAAGUUCUGCACCAAACAGCGGUGUUCCAAAUUUCAAACGAUUUAGAAAGCCACAAACUCAAUCUGGAAAUAGUUUCAACAACCUUGUUCCAUUUGCAAAAUAUCCAUACAAGGAUUCUGGCUAUGGAAAUGAUGAGACAGCUGAGUAUGUUAAGGAGGAGAAAAGACGAAAACAAAGAGAAGCCGUGGCUGAUGAUCUAUUUAAUAAUCAGAAGGCAAAAAAACGAGGCACAGCUGGUUCUCUUCACGGCAUGCUUACUAGUACUAGAUGAAAUUUUUUUCCUGUGAAAAAGUGAACAUGAUGACAUAUAGCAGAAGGCUUCCUCCUUGUAUAUGAACUUUGAACAUACUGCACUUACAUGUGUGUCCCAAUUACAAGGUUUUGGCUGCAUGUGAAGGUUUGUGGCACAGUUUUAAGAUUAUUUCUACAGCUCAAAAUUGGUGAGACAUAGGUUUCCUUUGAAAAAUUGUGGGUACACGUGGUUGAAUUUAAUUAGUUUGUGGAUAACUAAUUUUUUUUUUUAAAGGGAACCUAAAACUUACCAUUAAAUUUUGUAUGAUAAGUUAUAUUUAUUCUCCUCUUUUGUCACAUACAAAACCUGUUAUUUACUUGCAUCUUUCUAUUCUUAUAGCAACUGCAACAUUUUCCUAUUUAAUGCUAUUUCAACUCUCGUGGUCCCUUAUGGUCAAGGAUACCACCAUCACAUGGGACCUAAAAAAUUAAUUUUGGUUUCAUAAUUUUCAAACCAUAAUGGCAUUUACACUUUUUGCACUGGGCCAUACUAUAAAGUUAACAUUCUUUUUUGUUCUAGAUGACCAAAAUUUUCAAGAGCUACAAUAUUUGUUUUUCUUCGUCUAGAUGGAUAAAUAUGGAUGGAAGUGAUUUUUAAGAAGGAAGAGAGAUAACUGCCAAUUUCUUUUGGUUAACCCAAGCAUCAAUCAUCGCCAUCUUUUUGUGGAAUCAUGUUUUCCACGAAAUUAAUAUUAGAGCUAGAACAUUCACACAUACUAUAUCAUUUCUCUUCAACAUCAAUUUCAACUAAAUUAAGUUUAAAUUAUUCAAAAUCGUAUUUGCCAACAAAUAAGAAGCGUUAGCUUUGAAAAAAACCAACGGAAUACUAUAUCAUUUCUCUUCAACAUCAAUUUCAACUAAAUUAGGUUUAAAUUAUUCAGAAUCGUAUUU